CGUCACUGGAGUGCAUAGUGGUUUCUUUCCUAUAGAAAGAACACUAUCGUAAAAUAUCGUAAAGAAGCCGUAGUGUCGUAGAAGAACCCGUAGUGUCGUAGAAGAACCAUUAUUUAAGAGAUUGAAAUAUCAAGUUUCACUCGAGUUUGAAAUAAUUUCAUUUCAAUUUGCCAGUUGAUAUUCUUAGGCUGUUUGCAGCUGGGUUGUCAUUCCUAAGACAUAUGAUGAUAGAAUACCAAGUAGAGAAAAAUGGCCAUUUUCGACAUCUACUUCUCUUCGCUCUCAAUUACAGUUCCAAAGCUGUCAGAGACGCUUGAAACAUUUGUGCUGUGUACGAAGGUGACAAUGCUGGAAGAAGAACAGAGAAACGGUUUUCAUGCGUCAAAGACGGGGGAAUUUGACCCGACAGACUCUCCACCAUCCGGCCAACUUGUUCAAUACAAUGACAAUCGAGCUCAUCUUCGAGAAUGUUUCAAUACACGAGGAAUGAUAACGUCACCCGUCACCUUCACUCGAUGAAUAAGGUCCAAAAAACAAUAGCGCUUGCCCACACGUCACUAAUUUGAUUAAGAAUGCUAUUCAAGAACUCGGUUGCGAAGUUCUACCUCGCCCACCGCAUUCUCCUGAUAUAGCACCUUCAGAAUAUCGUCUUUUUCUGUCGUUCUCCAACAGUUUAGGUGUUUCGUUCAAUAAAGAUAUGGAGCUGAAACAUGACUCCAUGAAUUCUUCGAGUCAAGUCACGGUGAUAGCUACUGUCAGGACAUUGAAAACUAAUGGAACUUUUGAGCAAGAAAUCAUGAAUAAUGGAGAAUAUAUUAUUGAAUGAUUUUUUUUUUAAUGUUGAUGAAAAAUAAAGAUGAAAAAUAAAAUGAAAAACAAUAAAGAAGAAAA